GACGAACGCUGGCGGCGUGCCUAACGCAUGCAAGUCGAACGGAACUGUUUUGAAAGAUUUCUUCGGAAUGAAUUUGAUUUAGUUUAGUGGCGGACGGGUGAGUAACGCGUGAGUAACCUGCCUUCAAGAGGGGAAUAACAUUCUGAAAAGAAUGCUAAUACCGCAUGACAUAUCGGAACCACAUGGUUUUGAUAUCAAAUAUUUUAUCGCUUGAAGAUGGACUCGCGUCCGAUUAGUUAGUUGGUGAGGUAACGGCGCACCAAGACCGCGAUCGGUAGCCGGACUGAGAGGAUGAACGGCCACAUUGGGACGGAGACACGGCCCAGACUCCUACGGGAGGCAGCAGUGGGGGAUAUUGCGCAAUGGGGGCAACCCUGAAGCAGCAACGCGGCGUGAAGGAUGAAGGUUUUCGGAUUGUAAACUUCUUUUAUUAAGGACGAAAAAUGACGGUACUUAAUGAAUAAGCUCCGGCUAACUACGUG
rnacentral:rRNA from 1 species